rnacentral:tRNA from 1 species
CGGACUGAAAAUCCGUUGGCUUUAUAGACCAUGAGGGUUCAAGUCCCUCUACCCCCA